AUACCUUUCUCGGCCUUUUGGCUAAGAUCAAGUGUAGUAUCUGUUCUUAUCAGUUUAAUAUCUGAUAUGUGGGCCAUUGGCCCGCACGAUAUUAAAUUUAUUUUUUGAAGGGGAGAUCCCAAUGCAGUAGCUUGCUACUGGGGUUCUCAAGCGUCGUCCUUGUUUUGCACUAUAGCAUGGGCCUGGCGCACCCUAU
rfam:Glycine soja cultivar W05 scaffold1605_24, whole genome shotgun sequence.